rnacentral:rRNA from 1 species
UUGACGCUGAGGUUGGUACUUGUACCACUGGAUGAGCAGCGAACGGGUGAGUAACGCGUGGGGAAUCUGCCUUUGAGCGGGGGACAACAUUUGGAAACGAAUGCUAAUACCGCAUAAAAACUUUAAACACAAGUUUUAAGUUUGAAAGAUGCAAUUGCAUCACUCAAAGAUGAUCCCGCGUUGUAUUAGCUAGUUGGUGAGGUAAAGGCUCACCAAGGCGAUGAUACAUAGCCGACCUGAGAGGGUGAUCGGCCACAUUGGGACUGAGACACGGCCCAAACUCCUACGGGAGGCAGCAGUAGGGAAUCUUCGGCAAUGGACGAAAGUCUGACCGAGCAACGCCGCGUGAGUGAAGAAGGUUUUCGGAUCGUAAAACUCUGUUGGUAGAGAANAACGUUGGUGAGAGUGGAAAGCUCAUCAAGUGACGGUAACUACCCAGAAAGGGACGGCUAACUACGUGCCAGCAGCCGCGGUAAUACGUAGGUCCCGAGCGUUGUCCGGAUUUAUUGGGCGUAAAGCGAGCCCAGGUGGUUNAUUAAGUCUGGNGUAAAGGCAGUGGCUCANCCNUUGUAUGCUU